rnacentral:rRNA from 1 species
UACGUAGGGUGCAAGCGUUGUCCGGAAUUAUUGGGCGUAAAGAGCUCGUAGGCGGUCUGUCGCGUCUGCUGUGAAACUCAGGGCUUAACCCUGAGCUUGCAGUGGGUACGGGCAGACUAGAGUGCGGUAGGGGAGACUGGAAUUCCUGGUGUAGCGGUGAAAUGCGUAGAUAUCUGGAGGAACACCGGUGGCGAAGGCGGCGAUUCUGGACUGCAACUGACACUGAAAACGAAAGCCAGGGAGCAAACGGG